rnacentral:rRNA from 1 species
AGCGAACGCUGGCGGCAGGCCUAACACAUGCAAGUCGAACGAAGUCUUCGGACUUAGUGGCGGACGGGUGAGUAACACGUGGGGACGUACCUUUUGGUUCGGAACAACUGAGGGAAACUUGAGCUAAUACCGGAUGAGCCCUUCGGGGGAAAGAUUUAUCGCCAUUAGAGCGGCCCGCGUUAGAUGAGCUAGUUGGUGAGGUAAAGGCUCACCAAGGCGACGAUCUAUAGCUAGUCUGAGAGGAUGAUCAGCCACACUGGGACUGAGACACGGCCCAGACUCCUACGGGAGGCAGCAGUGGGGAAUCUUGCGCAAUGGGCGAAAGCCUGACGCAGCCAUGCCGCGUGAAUGAUGAAGGUCUUAGGAUUGUAAAAUUCUUUUACCAGGGACGAUAAUGACGGUACCUGGAGAAAAAGCCCCGGCUAACUUCGUGCCAGCCGCCGCAGUAAAAC